GUCGGCAGAGCAGCAGGAAGGUACUGGCUGCCUCUCUUUUAAAAGCCAGCUCCCCUUCUAAGUGGUGAUGGUGCCGGCAAGUAGGGAAUGUGGGGAGAGUAAGGAUCUAGAAUCACAUAGGAUAAAAGGAUCUGGGCACAUCUGUGAAGACAUUUUUGGAUUGGGCUGAGAUAGGAAGACUCAUCCUGAAUGUGGUGGCACCAUUCCCUAGGCUGGAGUGUUGGACCGAAUCAAAAGGAGAAAGUAAGCUGCGUACCAGCAUUCAUCUUUACUAUUUCCUAACUGCAGAUGCAGAGCUCCCUCCAGCUCCUGUUACCAAGCCUUAUCUACAAUGGUGGAUGGACUCAAGUUAUGAACUCAAAUAAUCCCUUCCUUCUGUGAGCUGCUUUUGUUAGGUAUUACAGCAAUAAGAGAAGUAAUUUGUAUGAAAACUAGUUCACUUUUCUUGAUAAAAGAAAUUCCCAAACCCAAAUGUUUUAUGUCUUUCUCCCUGUAACCCUAUGGGUCUGUUUCAGUUUGUCUCUGGGUUUCUGUUGUGAUCGUUUGGCUUUCUGUGUGACUGGUUAUCUUUCAAUACCUAAUAGAAACCAUCAUCUCAAGAUACAUAUCACCUUUCAGUGUUGUUCAAGUGGCAUUUGCCCUUUAAUUGAUUCAUUAUCAACAGAUUCAAUGUAUCACUAACGAAAUUUCUAAGUUUUCCUCGCCUCGUGAAAACGCUGUGCUAAUUCUAAGAUUUGUAGGAAAACACAGAAUCUAAGUAUCUAAAAUAACUGGAAAUAAAGGGACAUUGCUGGA
rnacentral:lncRNA from 1 species